ensembl:snoRNA
AACCAAUGAUGCGAUGAUUCUGCCAAAUGAAUACAAUGAUAUCACCCAUAAAACCGUUCCAUUUUGAUUUCUGAGGUU